rnacentral:rRNA from 1 species
AUGCGCGACGUCUUUGCCGUCGGCCCCCUCCACGCCAGGCCAGCCGCCAGACACGCCGCAGAACACGUGAGCAGCGACGACAUGAGCUUGUCGGCGUGGCUGGACGGCCACGAGGACCGGUCGGUGGUGUACGUGAACCUAGGGAGCCUCACAAUCGUCUCCAGCGAGCAGCUGGCCGAGUUCCUGCACGGCCUCGUGGCCGCCGGCUACGCCUUCCUGGGCGUGUUCCGGCAGGACAUGCUCCACCAAAUGACUGGCGCUAGCAAGUCUUCAGUGGCCCUGCGGGAAGCGGUGGAGGCGGUGGCAGCAGCCGGCAGCGAGAGGGCGCUGGUGGUGGAGUGGGCGCUGCAGCGGGACGCGCACCACGUGCUGCGGCACCGCGCGGUGGGGUGCUUCCUGACGCACGGCGGGUGGAACUCGACGCUGGAGGCCGCCGUGGAGAGCGUGCCGGCGGUGUGCUGGCCCUUCUUCGCCGACCAGCAGACCAACAGCCGCUUCGUGGGGGCCGUGUGGAGGACGGGGCUGGACAUGAAGGACGUGUGCCAAAGGGCCGUGGUGGAGAGGAUGGUGAGGGAGGCCAUGGAGUCCCCUGAGAUCAGGGCGUCGGCCCAGUCCAUGGCACGGCAGCUCAGGCUGGACGUCGCCGAGGGGGGCUCGUCGUCGUCCGAGUUGGAGCGCCUCGUCCGCCUCAUCACCGAGCUCAGCCUCAGUGCCGUGAAAAUUUCAUCGCCUGCUCCCGCUCUCACUUGA